CCAAAUCCUGGGACAAAGGAAGUGACAAGCCUGUUCCCCAAGCGACUGAUUGACGACUUCUCCAGUGAAGAUCCAUGCACAGAUUAACUCUUCCAUGUUCUGUCCUCGUUGCUUGGCAGGAAAGUGGAGUAGAAUUUCCUGUUAAGAAGCUGGAACUAUGAGACUGUUGGCUGAAAAGACAAAAGCCUAAACCU